GAGAGAGAAAAUCAUUGGGAUUUUCGUAUACCUACCGGAGAGCGUUUUUUAGAUUGCAACUGCGGAUUCGUUCACCGUUGGAUCGGGUUGAUUUUUGGACAACAGGUUCUACACACUUGAAACUUCAAAUUGUUUGGUUGGAUCGGGAAAAAGAUAUCUACAGAGAGAGAUAAAUAUUUUACAUUAUUUGCUCUAUAUUUUAGGAUUUUAUCUUCUUGUCUCUAUUGUACCAAUUGAGGUUUGUUUUGAUUUGACUGUUUGUAACACGUUUUAGUGCAUUUGUUAGAGGUUCUCUUGUAUCUGUUUGGAGGUUCUCUUGUAUACUUUAUCCCAUCUAUAUUACACUUGAGGGGGAGAUUGUUGGAGUAUAAGUGUGAGGUGAAAUCCCACAUCAAAUAGAAGUUAAAAAGUUGAGCACCAUACAAGUGAGGAGAAGACCCAUAAACCUAAGUCUUAAGGUUUUGAGUUAAAGUGUGGUAUCAAGUUCCCUUAUGUGAUUAUUAUGUCUCAUUGGUGUAAAUCUCCUCAUACUACUCUACAUCAAAUAUAUCAUCGCAAUCU
rnacentral:lncRNA from 1 species